UACAAGCACACGUGCACGACAACAACGAAGUGGCUUUCGGGAGAGGGCUUGCUGCCAAGCUCAGAGUACUUUCCAGCUCACUGGGCCCGCCCCGCAGGAAGAGUGAGGGCUCUGCACGGAGGGUGUUCCUGGAACUGGCCCUCCUGGCUGUGGCGGGAGAGCCAUGCCUGCUUCUCUCUCAGGCGGCCAGGCGGUCUGGUGUGUUUGGCAUACACACCCGAGUCUCCCCUGCAGCAGCAAACUGCUUCACCUGCUGAUAAAUCUACUGAAAACAUGCGGUGGGUGACGGAGUGAGUUCUCCGGGAGUCAUGAGAAAAACGAAAGUGCAAAACAACUAUAAUUGGGGAGUUGAGUGGAAGAAGAUGAAGAGGAACUGAUGAAUUUACAUGUCUUCUUUGCUCCUCUUCCUGCUUUCUUCUGUGAGGCUUAUUCCUUUCCGGCAGUCGGAGAAACAAACUGGAAGAAUCAUGCCUACAGAUCCCAACCGCUGGCACUUCUGAGAGCUGGCAGUGAGUGAGAGAAAAUAAUCCAAAGUUGGGCAAGAGGUCAAUAGCUCCUCGGCUCCUUUGUAUGAAGCUGUGGGGCACCCAUACUUGGUCUUUCGCUGUUCCUUAUCUGCUUUUUCUCUCCAUGCUGGCUGAAGGGAAGGGGGGGCACUCCGCUGUGCUUGUUUGACUCUCUCUCCUUUUUCCUCUCUCUUUGCCGUCUCUCCUCUUUGUCAAGACUCCCACCUGCUUGGCUCCUUGGAGGUUUCAAACUGCCUGGAACUGCAAUCUGUUAAGGUGGAUUGGAAAGUUCUUUCGGAUUGGUUAUGCUCCCCCCCCCCCCCACGCCGCCCACGCCGCCCUGCAACCGUCCUCUGCCUUGUUGAGCAGCUCCUGGAAGAGGAGGAAGAGGAGGGGGCUCAGAGGCAAAUUUCAGGAGAUGCUCAGCGGCACUGCCAAGACCAAAGACAGCCAACCUGCGGAGGUGCAGCCUUCACUGGCUCAUCACGUCAGCUGAGACCAGCGCAAAGGAGGGUGCCUCCACUCCAAGGCAGGAAGAAAUGUGUAAUCCGCUCUCCCCUCCCUCGCCUGUCAAUCCUGCCCUAGGGUGACCCAGAAGUUUGCUUCAUCUGAAUGUGACCUCUAGACAGAGUGGUCAUAAACAGCGGUGGCACUGGCCCAAGAUGACAAGGGUGCGGCCAAUUUGGCAACCGCUUCUGCUCCCCCCCCCUCCCCUAAAUGUCAACAGCCAGGGGAAGAGAUCCAGGAAAACAAAGCUUUUCUUAAUAGCUUCCUUUGCUCUCAUGUGAAUCAAAGGGAUUUUUCUUGGCAGGGGAGCAGACUUGGGCAAUAAAGAAAAGAAAAAAGGGAGAAGAGGAGAGUGCAGGACUAGCCCAGUCUGUUGUUCCUGUUUUGCCCCGCAGGUAGAAUUUAACUUGAAGAAACAACAGCAACAUCAUCAUUUGCUAUCCAAGCAAGGUUCUGCAAUAGUCAAUGGUAGUCAUAAUACAAGGGGGGGGGGGGAAUGUAUGUACAAUGCAAUAGUUUAUGAAUAAGAACAAUACAUCAUAAAAUUCUCCAAAUUGUGCAACUGCUCUCAAUUCAUUGGAUGGCUUCUAGAAGCGGAUGCUAAGACAGACUGCCUCAUCCAUCUCAAAUAUGAAGGCAAUAAAAAUGGUCUACCUUGCUGGGUCCUUGUAACAGUUGAUUAUCAGUUAAUAUAUGCCAAAUGCUCCGAACACUGAUAAAACUCCGGCAUGAAAUACAGUCUUGGAAACAGGAUGAGAUGCCAGCUCCGCUCUCAUUUGCUAUAACAUUUUAAUUGGCAGAUUCGAUUGGAUUUACGGCAGGAUUCUUGUUGCUUUUCUUUUGAUAGUGUUAUUGGGUUUUUAUUGUUCUAGUUGUAUUUAAUCUUUUCUAUAUUUGCAUGCUGUCUAGGCAUCCACAAAAACAAAGGGUUACUUUAAAAUGUUUUAAGAAAUAUAAAAGUGUAUAGUACCUACAUGUGAUGAUCCUAUACAUAUGUAUUGUUUGUUACUAGAAAUAGUGUGCUUGGCCAUGACUUCCCAGAACAAGGGCACACAUAGCGGUCCCUUCGAACUUCUGCACAAAGAACCUCCUGGCGUUUCCUGUGUGGCAAUCCUAGACUCAGGUUUCCUCUAGCUAAAUAUAAAGCCACAGGCUUUUGAUGCAAGGAUAUGUUGAAGCAUCUUUUAGUUUUGGCUUUCUCUGAAAUGUUACCUCAGUGAACCACAACUUGGGAAAUUUUUAUACGAGAUUACAAUCACCAUGGCCAUGUUGGCUGGGGGAUUUUGGAUGUUACAGUUCAAAAGAGUAACUUCCCACACUCUGUUUAGAAUAAGAUGAGCAAUGAGCAAGCAGCUCUUCCGCAAAAGAACCUCACAACUGGAGCAAAGGUGACUGAACUAAUCAAGAUUAGAAUAUGGAAAACAAAGGCCACCUCACCUCCUAACCACCAGAAUAUCCCAAGGAGCUUGUUUCUGGGAUUACUUCCCCUUUAACCUGUUACUUGAGAUUUCUGCGGCCACAACAGUCUUAAAACUUCCACAGGACCUCACACAAUGCACUCACACUUUAUGAACCUGGCACUCCAUGCAAAGUAACAAAAAAUUCAAAAUGCCGCAAAUGCAAAGUUAACUCAGUAUCAAGGAGAAAACAUUAAUUCUCUAACUGGUAUAAGUGACCCAAGUUGGCAUAUAGACAUUUACACUACACACAUUUAUUUUGGUAACGGAGGCAGCAUAGAAUAGUGGUUGGUACUGGACUAAGUCCAACUGGAAACCUUAGGCAGGUCACAGCCUCUCGGCCAAAAAAAGAGGCAAUGGCAAACCAUCUCUGAACAAAUCUUGCCAAAAAAAACCUGGAUAAGAUCAUCCUGCUUGUAUUUUUUGGGGUUUUUAAAUUGUAUUGUAUUGGUUUUACUGUAAGCCGCUUUGAGUCUUUUUUUAGACUCCACGGUGUGAAUCAUCAUCAUCCUAAAUUGGGAAUGACUUGAAGGCACGCAACAACAAUGGACAUCAAAUUAGGUAACAAGAAGUUGCAUGCAGGAAGAACAAAAGCAAGAUGAAAGUCCCCUGAGAACUUAUUUAGGACUCCUAAUUCCUAGAAUCUCCUAGCAAGCAGAGCCAGUACCAUUAUCCCCAAUAAAAGCAAAAAAAAUUAAGACCUGAAAGCACUAAGUCAGAUUCUAUCCAGGUAAUAGCUUUCCAAACAUCAACAGCUCAAUGGAGGAGGCAAGCAGCAAUUUAUAUUAUGAAACAGUUUUCCAGUCUCAAACUAUACCAUAAAAUUAAUGAAUUUUAUUUGAACAAUGCUCUUUCUAGGUAAUUUUAUAAAUUCCCGAGUUUCCCAUGUGAUACUACAUUUUUUUCAAGAGAAAUUCCCAUCCAAAAUGGGCAGUGGCUUGGGGAUCCUGGGUACUGUGGCUUAAAAAGUAACUUGUCCGCGCUCUAGCUUUAACUUCAGAGCAGAAAGGAUUUAUCAUCACAGUGUGCAAAGUUUCAGUGUUAUGUAGAGCCCAACCUAAAACAAAAAACGAGUAUGCUUUCUAUGUGGCUGGAUUGAGAUGUAAUGGACAAUUCAUUUAUGUAAACCUCUACAGUAGACCGUUCCAAACGUGUGUCAGUUGCAGUGUGUAGGUGUGUCACGUGAAUGUAACAAGAAACCUGAACCUAUGUGAAAUAAGUCAAUUUUAUAUUUUAUAAAAAUAUAAAUGAAAGAUUUUCAUGAGCUAUGUUGUUUCCCCAUACAUUUCAUUGUUACAAUUUAUGUACACGUCUGGAGUUGGUUUCACUUCUGUUUUGCUAGUAAAACUGAAUGACUGUGUCGCAAAAUGUUGAAAAAGCAUCAUGAAAUGUUUGGAAAGCUCUGCUCUGCAGACAAGGUAAGUGGUAUGUACCCCACACAGAUUUACCAUAUCACUCAAGGAAAACUAGCUCUAGGAUCAACUACCAUGAUGUGCUAUGCCUAGCUGUAAUCCUUUGAGUGACUCGAAACAAUAACGGCAAUGAGACAAAAUUUAAAAACGUAGGAUGGGAAAAAUAAAACUACAGUAAUUACUAACUA